GCGCAGGGGUGGUGAUGUCAUCACGCGGCCCCGCCGCUGGCCCGGAAGCGUGGCCACACCGGAAGGGGCGGGGCCCUGCAGGCUGGGAGCCGGUGUGGGGAUUUAAACCCCAGGAGAUGCCGGGGAAGGGAGGGAGCUCAGAGGGAGCAAGCCUGUAACAAGAGGAGUGACGGAUGGGACCCAAAGUGAGGUGGUGAGCCCGGCUGCUACGGGAAGUGGUGACGGCAGAGAGAGGAAGUAGCCCAGGGCGGGCAAAGGGAGCCUGUGGGCUGGGAUGAAGAGGUUGUGACUCCACUGCGUACCAGUACUGAACAAGCCUUGGUUCUCCUCAGCAAGCAAGCAAGCAAAGCAGCUCUGAGCACCAAGUACCCACCAGGCAAUGGAAGAUGGGAAUGAUGUGGUGUUUCAUGACAAUGCAACCACUCCUGGGGUACAACACAGCUACCAUUAUAACAGUCAGCAAUGGUCUGUGAGAGUCCAGCAGAGAACAGAGAAGAUGAAUAUCCAAUUCAAAUGCAAUGGUAGGGGAUUACAAGCAAGAGGGCAGUUGCUGGAUCUCAGUAUAUCAAAAAGGCGGAGAUAGCAAACAGAUUCUAAAAAAUAUCCCCCUGGGGGAAGAGAGGAAUUGGGAGUAAUGCUGCAUAAGCAGGACACAUGCUGCUGGAUAUUUUAUGUGGAUAGCAACACCCUCCC